rnacentral:lncRNA from 1 species
AGAAAAGUGGCAAUCUGAAUGCCAAAGAUUAUUAUUCAAAAGUGUUUCUCCUUCUGUUCUUUUCAGUUAGAACGGCUUCUCUUCUCCACCCAAGUGGGGAAUACAGCACUUUAAGAAGAAAAGGACGGAGGAGCAGGGUUAGAACGGGCAUCAGAAACAGGAAGGCUGCAGAUGCAUCCGAUGGAAGAAGGGGAAGUGUUUUCUUGCUGACCGCCUUGCUCGCUUCCUGUGCCUAGAGCGAUGGAAUGCUUCUGAGCUAUCAGAUGACUUGUGGAGGUCUGGUAUUUUCUAUCUUUGCCUCUACUGCUAUCCGCCACUUCCAGAGAUGUACUAGCUGAGCUUGUAGAUCUGAUUUAUGGAGGGUUUCUAAAGACA